UGAAUACUGGUGGAGAAUUUAAC
rnacentral:piRNA from 1 species